AGUCGAACGAAGGCUUCGGCCUUAGUGGCGCACGGGUGCGUAACGCGUGGGAACAUACCCUUUUCUACGGAAUAGCUCUGGGAAACUGGAAUUAAUACCGUAUACGCCCUACGGGGGAAAGAUUUAUCGGGGAAGGAUUGGCCCGCGUUGGAUUAGCUAGUUGGUGGGGUAAAGGCCUACCAAGGCGACGAUCCAUAGCUGGUCUGAGAGGAUGAUCAGCCACAUUGGGACUGAGACACGGCCCAAACUCCUACGGGAGGCAGCAGUGGGGAAUAUUGGACAAUGGGCGCAAGCCUGAUCCAGCCAUGCCGCGUGAGUGAUGAAGGCCUUAGGGUUGUAAAGCUCUUUCACCGAUGAAGAUAAUGACGGUAGUCGGAGAAUAAGCCCCGGCUAACUCCGUGCCAGCAGCCGCGGUAAUACGGAGGGGGCUAGCGUUGUUCGGAAUUACUGGGC
rnacentral:rRNA from 1 species